CAACGUAGGUAACCUGCCCAUGUGUCCGGGAUAACUGCUGGAGACGGUAGCUAAAACCGGAUAGGUAUACAGAGCGCAUGCUCAGUAUAUUAAAGCGCCCUUCAAGGCGUGAACAUGGAUGGACCUGCGGCGCAUUAGCUAGUUGGUGAGGUAACGGCCCACCAAGGCGAUGAUGCGUAGCCGGCCUGAGAGGGUAAACGGCCACAUUGGGACUGAGACACGGCCCAA
rnacentral:rRNA from 1 species